CUACGGGGGGCAGCAGUGAGGAAUAUUGCACAAUGGGGGGGAACCCUGAUGCAGCAACGCCGCGUGGAGGAUGACGCAUUUCGGUGUGUAAACUCCUUUUAUAUGUCAAGAAAAUGACGGUAGCAUAUGAAUAAGCACCGGCUAACUCCGUGCCAGCAGCCGCGGUAAUACGGAGGGUGCAAGCGUUACUCGGAAUCACUGGGCGUAAAGGACGCGUAGGCGGGUUGGAAAGUCAGAUGUGAAAUCCUACAGCUUAACUGUAGAACUGCACUUGAAACUUCUAAUCUAGAGUAUGGGAGGGGGAGAUGGAAUUAGUGGUGUAGGGGUAAAAUCCGUAGAUAUCACUAGGAAUACCUAAAGCGAAGGCGAUCUCCUGGAACAUUACUGACGCUAAGGCGUGAAAGCGUGGGGAGCAAACAGGAUUAGAUACCCCAGUAGUC
rnacentral:rRNA from 1 species